rnacentral:rRNA from 1 species
CCCGGCGAUCAUGACGGAGGGGCAACACCCGUUCCCAUUCCGAACACGGAAGUUAAGCCCUCAGGUGCCGAUGGUACUGCUCGGGCAGCUGAGUGGGAGAGUAGGAAAUUGCCGGGU